rnacentral:rRNA from 1 species
UACGAAGGGAGCUAGCGUUGUUCGGAAUUACUGGGCGUAAAGCGAACGUAGGCGGUGUUCCAUGUCAGAGGUGAAAGCCUGGGGCUCAACUCCAGAAUUGCCUUUGAAACGGGAACGCUUGAGUCCGAGAGAGGAUGGCGGAAUUCCUAGUGUAGAGGUGAAAUUCGUAGAUAUUAGGAAGAACACCAGUGGCGAAGGCGGCCAUCUGGCUCGGUACUGACGCUCAGGUUCGAAAGCGUGGGGAGCAAACAGG